UACGGAGGGUGCGAGCGUUGUCCGGAAUCAUUGGGCGUAAAGGGUGCGUAGGCGGCCUGACAAGUCUGAUGUGAAAUCCCUGGGCUCAACCCAGGGCCUGCAUCGGAAACUGUCGGGCUUGAGUAUGGGAGAGGUGAGUGGAAUUUCCGGUGUAGCGGUGAAAUGCGUAGAUAUCGGAAGGAACACCUGUGGCGAAAGCGGCUCACUGGACCAUUACUGACGCUGAGGCACGAAAGCUAGGGGAGCAAACAGG
rnacentral:rRNA from 1 species